rnacentral:rRNA from 1 species
CCUACGGGAGGCAGCAGUGGGGAAUAUUGCACAAUGGGGGAAACCCUGAUGCAGCGACGCCGCGUGAAGGAAGAAGUAUUUCGGUAUGUAAACUUCUAUCAGCAGGGAAGAAAAUGACGGUACCUGACUAAGAAGCCCCGUCUAACUACGUGCCAGCAGCCGCGGUAAUACGUAGGGGGCAAGCGUUAUCCGGAUUUACUGGGUGUAAAGGGAGCGUAGGCGGUUUAGAAAGUCAGAAGUGAAAGGCCGGGGCGCAACUCCGGGACUGCUGUUGAAACUGUUGAACUAGAUGGCAGGAGAGGUAAGUGGAAGUCCUGGUGUAGCGGUGAAAUGCGUAGAUAUUAGGAGGAACCCCAGUGGCGAAGGCGGCUUACUGGACUGUAAAUGACGCUGAGGCUCGAAAGCGUGGGGAGCAAACAGGAUUAGAUACCCCAGUAGUC